CAAAGAUUAAGCCAUGCAUGUCUCAGUACAAGCCGAAUUAAGGUGAAACCGCGAAAGGCUCAUUAAAUCAGUUAUGGUUCCUUAGAUCGUACCCACAUUUACUUGGAUAACUGUGGUAAUUCUAGAGCUAAUACAUGCAAACAGAGCUCCGACCGGAGACGGAAGGAGCGCUUUUAUUAGAUCAAAACCAAUCGGUGGCGGUUUCCGUCAUCGUACAACUUGGUGACUCUGAAUAACUUUACGCUGAUCGCACGGUCUCGCACCGGCGACGCAUCUUUCAAAUGUCUGCCUUAUCAACUGUCGAUGGUAGGUUCUGCGCCUACCAUGGUUGUAACGGGUAACGGGGAAUCAGGGUUCGAUUCCGGAGAGGGAGCCUGAGAAACGGCUACCACAUCCAAGGAAGGCAGCAGGCGCGCAAAUUACCCACUCCCGGCACGGGGAGGUAGUGACGAAAAAUAACGAUACGGGACUCAUCCGAGGCCCCGUAAUCGGAAUGAGUACACUCUAAACCCUUUAACGAGGAUCAAUUGGAGGGCAAGUCUGGUGCCAGCAGCCGCGGUAAUUCCAGCUCCAAUAGCGUAUAUUAAAGUUGUUGCGGUUAAAAAGCUCGUAGUCGAAUCUGUGUCCCGCGCCGCCGGUUCAUCGUUCGCGGUGUUAACUGGCGUGCCGCGGGACGUCCUGCCGGUGGGCUUAGCUCGAGAGGGCGGCCCAACUCAAUCCCGCCGCGGUGCUCUUCAUUGAGUGUCGAGGUGGGCCGGCACGUUUACUUUGAACAAAUUAGAGUGCUUAAAGCAGGCUAAAACUUCGCCUGAAUACUGUGUGCAUGGAAUAAUGGAAUAGGACCUCGGUUCUAUUUUGUUGGUUUUCGGAACCCCGAGGUAAUGAUUAAUAGGAACGGAUGGGGGCAUUCGUAUUGCGACGUUAGAGUGAAAUUCUUGGAUCGUCGCAAG
rnacentral:rRNA from 1 species